UCAUCAUCUGCUACAGUGCUUAGGAGAAAGAAAAAGAACAGGAGUUAAGAGCACAAAAUUCCCAGAAAUAAAGCAGUGUAAUAGACUAUGAUACAGCUAGAUCACGUGGACAUUAGGGGUGUACAAUUCAUAGGUCGGGCUCACUUGUCCUGAAGGUGGUCAUUAGACUAAAUCAACAAUAUUAAAUUAGCUUGAAACUUUCUGUCACUAGAACCAACUGACAUGCAUUGAAACCAUUUCCAACACAUUGGCU
rnacentral:misc_RNA from 1 species